GUCCACAUCACUUUGAAAUGCCGGUUCCCAUAUGAUCACCAAAGUUAAGCAAUGUUGAACCUUGUCAGUACCUAGAUGGGUGACCACAUGGGAAUACCAGGUACUGUAAG